GAGGGUGUAGCUCAGUGGUAGAGCGCAUGCUUAGCAUGCACGAGGUCCUGGGUUCAAUCCCUAGUGCCUCCA
rnacentral:tRNA from 1 species